GACGAACGCUGUCGGCGUGCUUAACACAUGCAAGUCGAACGGAAAGGCCCUGCUUUUGUCGGGUGCUCGAGUGGCGAACGGGUGAGUAACACGUGAGUAACCUGCCUUGUACUUGGGGAUAACUUCAGGAAACGGGGGCUAAUACCGGAUAGGAGCACCUGCUGCAUGGUGGGGGUUGGAAAGUUUCGGUGGUUGGGGAUGGACUGGCGGCUUAUCAGUUUGUUGGGGGGGUGGUGGCUUACCAAGGCUUUGACGGGUAGCCGGCCUGAGAGGGUGACGGGCCCCAUUGGGCCAGAGAAAGCGCCCGGAGUCAUACGGCGGGAAGGGGUGGAGGUUAUUGCAAGCUAGGCGGAGGCCUGAUACAGCAACGCCGCGUGCGGGAUGUCGGCCUUAGGGUUAUAAAGAGCUUUCGCCUGUGAAGAAGCGUGAGUGACGGUAAUGGAUCAAAAAGCACCGGCUAACUACGUG
rnacentral:rRNA from 1 species